UAAAAGGGUGCUCACUUUACUCCUAACAUAGUGCAUUGUGUUUAUCACAGUGGGGUAUGGUUAUCAAGACAUACCCAGCACAUAAUUUUUUUAACUUAGGGGAAGUCAGUCGCUAUUAUGCACAGACGCCCCU